rnacentral:rRNA from 1 species
GACGAACGCUGGCGGCGUGCUUAACACAUGCAAGUCGAACGGAAAGGCCCUGCUUUUGUGGGGUGCUCGAGUGGCGAACGGGUGAGUAACACGUGAGUAACCUGCCCUUGACUUUGGGAUAACUUCAGGAAACUGGGGCUAAUACCGGAUAGGAGCUCCUGCUGCAUGGUGGGGGUUGGAAAGUUUCGGCGGUUGGGGAUGGACUCGCGGCUUAUCAGCUUGUUGGUGGGGUAGUGGCUUACCAAGGCUUUGACGGGUAGCCGGCCUGAGAGGGUGACCGGCCACAUUGGGACUGAGAUAAGGCCCAGACUCCUACGGGAGGCAGCAGUGGGGAAGAUUGCACAAUGGGCGGAAGCCUGAUGCAGCAACGCCGCGUGCGGGAUGACGGCCUUCGGGUUGUAAACCGCUUUCGCCUGUGACGAAGCGUGAGUGACGGUAAUGGGUAAAGAAGCACCGGCUAACUACGUG